GACGAACGCUGGCGGCGUGCUUAACACAUGCAAGUCGAACGGAAAGGCCCUGCUUUUGUGGGGUGCUCGAGUGGCGAACGGGUGAGUAACACGUGAGUAACCUGCCCUUGACUUUGGGAUAACUUCAGGAAACUGGGGCUAAUACCGGAUAGGAGCUCCUGCUGCAUGGUGGGGGUUGGAAAGUUUCGGCGGUUGGGGAUGGACUCGCGGCUUAUCAGCUUGUUGGUGGGGUAGUGGCUUACCAAGGCUUUGACGGGUAGCCGGCCUGAGAGGGUGACCGGCCACAUUGGGACUGAGAUACGGCCCAGAGUCCUAAGGGAGGCAGCAGUGGGGAAUAAUGCAGGAUGGGCGGAAGCCGGGUGCAGCAAGGCCGCGUGCGGGAUGACGGCCUUCGGGUUGUAAACCGCUUUGGCCGGUGACGAAGCGUGAGUGAAGGUAAUGGAUAAAGAAGCACCGGCUAACUACGUG
rnacentral:rRNA from 1 species